rnacentral:ncRNA from 1 species
CGGGUAUCCGCAGGGAUUUAAUAGAGAAGCCGGAGCAUUUCCGGCGCGGUCACGCCACUGUAUGGGGGAGCGAAUUUGCAGAAAAGCGCGAUGCUUUUGCGCUUUUCGAUAGAGCCACUGAAGCGUAUGCUUUGGGAAGGCGCAAAAACGUUAUGAACCUAAGCCAGGAGAACUGCCCGGCC